rnacentral:tRNA from 1 species
ACCUGGCUGGCUCAAUUGGUGGAGCAUGUGACUCUGGAUCUUUGGGUUGUGAGUUCAAGUCUCACACUGGGUG